UACAGAGGGUGCAAGUGUUGUUCGGAAUCGUUGGGCGUAAAGGGCGCGUAGGCGGUGCAAUAAGUCAGGCGUGAAAGCCCCGGGCUCAACCCGGGAAUUGCGCUUGAUACUGUUGCGCUUGAAUCCAGGAGAGGAUGGCGGAAUUCCCAGUGUAGAGGUGAAAUUCGUAGAUAUUGGGAAGAACACCAGUGGCGAAGGCGGCCAUCUGGCCUGGAAUUGACGCUGAGGCGCGAAAGCGUGGGGAGCAAACAGG
rnacentral:rRNA from 1 species